AUUGAACGCUGGCGGCAGGCCUAACACAUGCAAGUCGAACGAGUGGCGCACGGGUGAGUAAUGUGUGUAAACCUGCCUUAUGGAGGGGGAUAACUACGGGAACCGGUAGCUAUUACCGCAUACCAUUCGCUGAGCCCAGGUGGGAUUAGGUAGUAGGUGAGGUAAAGGCUUACCUCGUCGACGAUCCCUAGUUGGUCUGAGAGGGUGACCAGCCACACUGGAACUGAGACACGGUCCAGACUCCUACGGGAGGCAGCAGUGGGGAAUAUUGCGCAAUGGGCGAAAGCCUGAUGCAGCAAUGCCGCGUGAGUGAAGAAGGCCUUCGGAUUGUAAAGUUCUUUCAGCAGGGAGGCGUUACCUACAGAAGAAGCACCGGCUAACUCCGUGCCAGCAGCCGCGGUAAUUC
rnacentral:rRNA from 1 species